ACGAACGCUGGCGGCGUGCUUCACACAUGCCAGUCGUACGGUAAGGCCCUUUCGGGGGUACACGAGUGGCGAACGGGUGAGUAACACGUGAGUAACCUGCCCACAACUUUGGGAUAACGCUAGGAAACUGGUGCUAAUACUGGAUAUGUGCUCCUGCUGCAUGGUGGGGGUUGGAAAGCUCCGGCGGUUGUGGAUGGACUCGCGGCCUAUCAGCUUGUUGGUGGGGUAGUGGCCUACCAAGGCGGCGACGGGUAGCCGGCCUGAGAGGGUGACCGGCCACAUUGGGACUGAGAUACGGCCCAGACUCCUACGGGAGGCAGCAGUGGGGAAUAUUGCACAAUGGGCGCAAGCCUGAUGCAGCAACGCCGCGUGCGGGAUGACGGCCUUCGGGUUGUAAACCGCUUUCAGCAGGGACGAAGCUUUUUGUGACGGUACCUGCAGAAGAAGCACCGGCUAACUACGUG
rnacentral:rRNA from 1 species